rnacentral:tRNA from 1 species
GGAUUUUAUAUUGGAUAGUGAUUAGUUUGAACCUAAUCGAAGGGUGUUCGAUUCACCCAAGAUCCU